GCUUCAAUAACUCAAAAAGAGUCGAAUCUUGAAAAGAUUGAAAAUAUAGGUUAAAAUCCUAUCUGAGGCA
rnacentral:tRNA from 1 species